GUCAUUAUAGUGUAAAUAACACACUAUACUUUCAUUGUAGAGAUAAAGGGACUCCUUUUAAAGAUA
rnacentral:tRNA from 1 species